rnacentral:rRNA from 1 species
GAUGAACGCUGGCGGCGUGCCUAAUACAUGCAAGUCGAGCGAACAGACGAGGAGCUUACUCCUCUGACGUUAGCGGCGGACGGGUGAGUAACACGUGGAUAACCUACCUAUAAGACUGGGAUAACUUCGGGAAACCGGAGCUAAUACCGGAUAAUAUGUUGAACCGCAUGGUUCAAUAGUGAAAGACGGUCUUGCUGUCACUUAUAGAUGGAUCCGCGUCGCAUCAGCUAGUUGGUAAGGUAACGGCUUACCAAGGCAACGAUGCGUAGCCGACCUGAGAGGGUGAUCGGCCACACUGGAACUGAGACACGGUCCAGACUCCUACGGGAGGCAGCAGUAGGGAAUCUUCCGCAAUGGGCGAAAGCCUGACGGAGCAACGCCGCGUGAGUGAAGAAGGUCUUCGGAUCGUAAAACUCUGUUAUUAGGGAAGAACAAAUGUGUAAGUAACUAUGCACGUCUUGACGGUACCUAAUCAGAAAGCCACGGCUAACUACGUG